rnacentral:rRNA from 1 species
ACGUAGGUGGCAAGCGUUAUCCGGAUUUACUGGGUGUAAAGGGCGUGUAGGCGGGAUUGCAAGUCAGAUGUGAAAACCACGGGCUCAACCUGUGGCCUGCAUUUGAAACUGUAGUUCUUGAGUACUGGAGAGGCAGACGGAAUUCCUAGUGUAGCGGUGAAAUGCGUAGAUAUUAGGAGGAACACCAGUGGCGAAGGCGGUCUGCUGGACAGCAACUGACGCUGAGGCGCGAAAGCGUGGGGAGCAAACAG